GCCGUGAUCGUAUAGUGGUCAGUAUUCUGCGUUGUGGCCGCAGCAAACUCGGUUCGAAUCCGAGUCACGGCA
rnacentral:tRNA from 1 species